CCUACGGGUGGCAGCAGUGAGGAAUAUUGGUCAAUGGGCGCGAGCCUGAACCAGCCAAGUAGCGUGAAGGAUGACGGCCCUACGGGUGGUAAACUUCUUUGAUAAAGGAAUAAAGUGAGGCACGUGUGCCUUUUUGUAUGUACAUUAUGAAUAAGGAUCGGCUAACUCCGUGCCAGCAGCCGCGGUAAUACGGAGGAUCCGAGCGUUAUCCGGAUGUAGGGGGCUUAAAGGGAGCGUAGAGGGGUUGUUAAGUCAGUUGUGAAAGGUGGCGGCUCAACCGUAAAAUUGCAUUUGAUACUGGCAGCCUUGAGUACAGUUGAGGUAGGCGGAAUUCGUGGUGUAGCGGU
rnacentral:rRNA from 1 species